rnacentral:lncRNA from 1 species
CGUGCAUUUUCUCCCAGAUCUAAGAAGGACUUCAAGUUUCGAUGCUUAGAACAUUAGGCCUCCCAGCAAACUGAACAUUUGGUUAGACUAAAAGUAGAGAAUUCUGGAACUGAAAUAAUCUCCCGAGUACAAAGGUCAGCAAGUGUUAAGAGACUCAUACCCUGCCCUCUAAGACCGAUGGCAAAAAGCACGGACUGGAAGAUUUGUCUUUAAAAGAUGCCAAGAGAACUCAAGAACAUGUUCUUUUGGGAGCUGACCAAUUAACCUGGGGAUUGACAUCAUCAGGAGGCCUAUACAAUUCAGCUUCUUGGAUCUACCAGUUUCAAGGAAAAGUCCUUAAAUCUAUCAUUUUUGGCUACGUCUCCAGAUGCAAGGCCCACUGGCUGGCUGUCAUAUCAGAGCCCCCAGACCAAAGUGCAGAGCAAUCAAGGGACUGAGAUCAUUUUGCUCUUACAGGAAGUCAACAACAGACAGAAAACACAGAUAAAGGAACAGUUUGAACCCCGUAGUUAAGUUUUGUGCCUAAGUUAGCUAAUUAACGAUAUAGUCUGCGCAACCGAGGUUCAGAGCCUUGCUCCUUCCAGGACUGCGCGCUCCACCUGGAGUCUAUCAUUCUUGCAUUCUGUGGAUCUGCAGACUCUUCGAUUUGUAUUUUUACAUUGCAUGGGCUCUGUCUGUGUGCCUCCCCUUCCUACGAUUAAAUAUCCCCACCUUCGUCUACACACGCCCUUGAUGCAGGUGUUACUGAGAAAGCAGCACACCGAUUGUGUUCACACACACGCGUGCGCACAUCACUAAGAAGCUAAGUGAAUGCCACCGAGUAGUGCAGCAGCAGAAAGCUACAACAGCCGGCACCGGGGCAAGUCAAGUCAACACACCGCAUGCUCGGGGAGGUGACGUUCAGCCUCUCGGUCAAAAGUUAUUACCAACUCUCAGAAGGAUAUGGAAGCUGGCUCCUCCACUAGUCAGGUCCAUCUCUCCCUCUUCUAAGGAACCCCACACAGCACGGUCUUUCCUUCCCCCGGGAUGAGGGAAGACAACAGGAUUCGGUAGAUGUGCAAGAAAACACACUGUUGCUCCUGGAUCUGUAGCUGGGACCCCGAGAAAUGUUGAGUGUUUGACUCUUAACAACCUCUCUACUUCGGAGUUUACUGAGAGCAAGACAUAUAGGCUGCAUCGGUAAACACUGCUGGUCACACGGCCCUCCAGCGGGAGUGGGGUAUUCCAAGGCCCACAGGUGCCAUCUGGGUGUCGUCCCACAAGGUUUGGGGUAACUGUUC